rnacentral:rRNA from 1 species
CACCCGAAGCCGGUGGAGUAACCAUUUAUGGAGCUAGCCGUCGAAGGUGGGACAAAUGAUUGGGGUGAAGUCGUAACAAGGUAGCCGUAUCGGAAGGUGCGGCUGGAUCACCUCCUUUCUAAGGA